GGGUUGUGAGGUUAAGCGACUAAGCGUACACGGUGGAUGCCCUGGCAGUCAGAGGCGAUGAAGGACGUGCUAAUCUGCGAUAAGCGUCGGUAAGGUGAUAUGAACCGUUAUAACCGGCGAUUUCCGAAUGGGGAAACCCAGUGUGUUUCGACACACUAUCAUUAACUGAAUCCAUAGGUUAAUGAGGCGAACCGGGGGAACUGAAACAUCUAAGUACCCCGAGGAAAAGAAAUCAACCGAGAUUCCCCAGUAGCGGCGAGCGAACGGGGAGCAGCCCAGAGCCUGAAUCAGUGUGUGUGUUAGUGGAAGCGUCUGGAAAGGCGCGCGAUACAGGGUGACAGCCCCGUACACAAAAAUGCACAUGCUGUGAGCUCGAUGAGUAGGGCGGGACACGUGGUAUCCUGUCUGAAUAUGGGGGGACCAUCCUCCAAGGCUAAAUACUCCUGACUGACCGAUAGUGAACCAGUACCGUGAGGGAAAGGCGAAAAGAACCCCGGCGAGGGGAGUGAAAAAGAACCUGAAACCGUGUACGUACAAGCAGUGGGAGCACAGAGCAAUCUGUGUGACUGCGUACCUUUUGUAUAAUGGGUCAGCGACUUAUAUUCUGUAGCAAGGUUAACCGAAUAGGGGAGCCGAAGGGAAACCGAGUCUUAACUGGGCGUUAAGUUGCAGGGUAUAGACCCGAAACCCGGUGAUCUAGCCAUGGGCAGGUUGAAGGUUGGGUAACACUAACUGGAGGACCGAACCGACUAAUGUUGAAAAAUUAGCGGAUGACUUGUGGCUGGGGGUGAAAGGCCAAUCAAACCGGGAGAUAGCUGGUUCUCCCCGAAAGCUAUUUAGGUAGCGCCUCGUGAAUUCAUCUCCGGGGGUAGAGCACUGUUUCGGCAAGGGGGUCAUCCCGACUUACCAACCCGAUGCAAACUGCGAAUACCGGAGAAUGUUAUCACGGGAGACACACGGCGGGUGCUAACGUCCGUCGUGAAGAGGGAAACAACCCAGACCGCCAGCUAAGGUCCCAAAGUCAUGGUUAAGUGGGAAACGAUGUGGGAAGGCCCAGACAGCCAGGAUGUUGGCUUAGAAGCAGCCAUCAUUUAAAGAAAGCGUAAUAGCUCACUGGUCGAGUCGGCCUGCGCGGAAGAUGUAACGGGGCUAAACCAUGCACCGAAGCUGCGGCAGCGACGCUUAUGCGUUGUUGGGUAGGGGAGCGUUCUGUAAGCCUGCGAAGGUGUGCUGUGAGGCAUGCUGGAGGUAUCAGAAGUGCGAAUGCUGACAUAAGUAACGAUAAAGCGGGUGAAAAGCCCGCUCGCCGGAAGACCAAGGGUUCCUGUCCAACGUUAAUCGGGGCAGGGUGAGUCGACCCCUAAGGCGAGGCCGAAAGGCGUAGUCGAUGGGAAACAGGUUAAUAUUCCUGUACUUGGUGUUACUGCGAAGGGGGACGGAGAAGGCUAUGUUGGCCGGGCGACGGUUGUCCCGGUUUAAGCGUGUAGGCUGGUUUUCCAGGCAAAUCCGGAAAAUCAAGGCUGAGGCGUGAUGACGAGGCACUACGGUGCUGAAGCAACAAAUGCCCUGCUUCCAGGAAAAGCCUCUAAGCAUCAGGUAACAUCAAAUCGUACCCCAAACCGACACAGGUGGUCAGGUAGAGAAUACCAAGGCGCUUGAGAGAACUCGGGUGAAGGAACUAGGCAAAAUGGUGCCGUAACUUCGGGAGAAGGCACGCUGAUAUGUAGGUGAAGCGACUUGCUCGUGGAGCUGAAAUCAGUCGAAGAUACCAGCUGGCUGCAACUGUUUAUUAAAAACACAGCACUGUGCAAACACGAAAGUGGACGUAUACGGUGUGACGCCUGCCCGGUGCCGGAAGGUUAAUUGAUGGGGUUAGCGCAAGCGAAGCUCUUGAUCGAAGCCCCGGUAAACGGCGGCCGUAACUAUAACGGUCCUAAGGUAGCGAAAUUCCUUGUCGGGUAAGUUCCGACCUGCACGAAUGGCGUAAUGAUGGCCAGGCUGUCUCCACCCGAGACUCAGUGAAAUUGAACUCGCUGUGAAGAUGCAGUGUACCCGCGGCAAGACGGAAAGACCCCGUGAACCUUUACUAUAGCUUGACACUGAACAUUGAGCCUUGAUGUGUAGGAUAGGUGGGAGGCUUUGAAGUGUGGACGCCAGUCUGCAUGGAGCCGACCUUGAAAUACCACCCUUUAAUGUUUGAUGUUCUAACGUUGACCCGUAAUCCGGGUUGCGGACAGUGUCUGGUGGGUAGUUUGACUGGGGCGGUCUCCUCCUAAAGAGUAACGGAGGAGCACGAAGGUUGGCUAAUCCUGGUCGGACAUCAGGAGGUUAGUGCAAUGGCAUAAGCCAGCUUGACUGCGAGCGUGACGGCGCGAGCAGGUGCGAAAGCAGGUCAUAGUGAUCCGGUGGUUCUGAAUGGAAGGGCCAUCGCUCAACGGAUAAAAGGUACUCCGGGGAUAACAGGCUGAUACCGCCCAAGAGUUCAUAUCGACGGCGGUGUUUGGCACCUCGAUGUCGGCUCAUCACAUCCUGGGGCUGAAGUAGGUCCCAAGGGUAUGGCUGUUCGCCAUUUAAAGUGGUACGCGAGCUGGGUUUAGAACGUCGUGAGACAGUUCGGUCCCUAUCUGCCGUGGGCGCUGGAGAACUGAGGGGGGCUGCUCCUAGUACGAGAGGACCGGAGUGGACGCAUCACUGGUGUUCGGGUUGUCAUGCCAAUGGCACUGCCCGGUAGCUAAAUGCGGAAGAGAUAAGUGCUGAAAGCAUCUAAGCACGAAACUUGCCCCGAGAUGAGUUCUCCCUGACUCCUUGAGAGUCCUGAAGGAACGUUGAAGACGACGACGUUGAUAGGCCGGGUGUGUAAGCGCAGCGAUGCGUUGAGCUAACCGGUACUAAUGAACCGUGAGGCUUAACCUUACAACGCCGAAGGUGUUU
rnacentral:rRNA from 1 species